AAUCGGUUAGCGCGUUCGGCUGU
rnacentral:piRNA from 1 species